UCCUACGGGAGGCAGCAGUAGGGAAUAUUGCUCAAUGGGGGAAACCCUGAAGCAGCAACGCCGCGUGAGGGAUGAAGGUCUUCGGAUCGUAAACCUCUGUCAGCAGGGAAGAACGGUCACUGUGCUAAUCAGCAGUGAAUUGACGGUACCUGCAAAGGAAGCACCGGCUAACUACGUGCCAGCAGCCGCGGUAAUACGUAGGGGGCGAGCGUUGUCCGGAAUCACUGGGCGUAAAGGGCGCGUAGGCGGUAAUAUAAGUCAGAUGUGAAAGGUGGGGGCUCAACCCCUAGAGUGCAACUGAUACU
rnacentral:rRNA from 1 species